rfam:Schistosoma haematobium scaffold3_2, whole genome shotgun sequence.
AGCUGUCUGAAUACGUGCUGAGAUUUCGUCAGACACCAGACCAUCAGGACUUGUGGGACUCCCAAGAUAAGUUAAGUG